AAUACUACCAUAUAAAUGUCAUUGCAGCAGCUAACAACUGUUAAGGUUAGCAAUGUCUCCCUAGGAGCAACAGAGAGGGACCUCAAGGAGUUCUUCUCAUUUUCCGGUGAUAUUGCAUAUGUUGAGAUGCACAAUGACACUGAGCGGUCUCAAGUUGCAUAUGUCACGUUCAAGGAUGCUCAAGGAGCAGGGACUGCCAUCAUGCUUUCGGGUGCAACUAUCGUUGAUAUGUCUGUCAGCAUUGCUCUCGCUCCGGAUUACAAGCUGCCUGCUGAUGCUAUAGCACCACCAGUAACUGAAAACAAAAGUCCAUCUGGUGGUGACUCCGCUUUGCGAAAAGCAGAGGAUGUAGUUACCAGCAUGCUGGCUAAGGGCUUCAUAUUGGGCAAAGAUGCAGUGAACAAAGCCAAGUCCCUUGAUGAGAAGCAUCAGUUGACAUCGACCGCCUCAUCAAAAGUCACUUCCUUCAAUAAGAAGAUUGGGCUGACCGAGAAAAUCAGUGUGGGUACUGCAGUUGUGGGCGGCAAGGUCAGGGAAGUGGAUCGAAAAUUUCAAGUUUCGGAGAAAACCAAGUCAGCAUUUGUGGCAGCCGAGCAAAAAGUUAGCAGUUCUUGAUCAGCCAUUAUGAAGAACCGCUAUGUGUUCACGGGGGCAUCGUGGGUAACAGGCGCUUUUAACAAAGUUGCGAAGGCAGCUGGGGAAGUCGGCCAGAAGACAAAGGAGAAAGUGGGAAUGGCCGAAGAGGAACAGAAGAGAAAAGUAGUGGAUGACUUUGCUCAGAUUCAUUUAUCCGAGUCUCCAAAGGCUACUGCUUCUGCUGAGCCGAAGCCAUCGAAGCACGAGCCUGUUCAAGGUCUGAUUCUGUGAUCUGGUUCUGUAUUGAACAUUGUGUAUCAUUUCAGAUACUCUCAGUUACUUGUCUGCUGUUGACCACCAGAACAGUGGUGCUUCAUUAUA